ACCCGCACAAGCGGUGGAUGAUGUGGAUUAAUUCGAUACAACGCGAAGAACCUUACCUACCCUUGACAUGCCCGGAACUUGCCAGAGAUGGCUUGGUGCCCGAAAGGGAGUCGGAACACAGGUGCUGCAUGGCUGUCGUCAGCUCGUGUCGUGAGAUGUUGGGUUAAGUCCCGCAACGAGCGCAACCCUUAUCAUUAGUUGCUACGCAAGGGCACUCUAAUGAGACUGCCGGUGACAAACCGGAGGAAGGUGGGGAUGACGUCAAGUCCUCAUGGCCCUUAUGGGUAGGGCUUCACACGUCAUACAAUGGUCGGUACAGAGGGUUGCCAAGCCGCGAGGCGGAGCCAAUCCAGCAAAACUUCCCUCAGUUCAGAUUGCAGGCUGCAACUCGCCUGCAUGAAGUUGGAGUUGCUAGUAAACGCAGGUCAGCCAUACUGCGUUGAAUACGUUCCCGGGGCUU
rnacentral:rRNA from 1 species